UGCAUCAAUUGAGGUUUAUUUUUAUUACGCUUGAUUGGUCUUACAAUGUGGGCAUGAAAUAAAACGAAACAUUGUGGGCACGACGGUAAAGUACGAAAGUUAGACUGUAUUCAUAAUUUUAUUUCCAGGGAUACAAAUGGUACAGGGUUUUCCCCAUACUAUAUGUCAACAAAUUCACUCGUCUGGUUAAAUGUGCAUGUCAGACACGCUCUUCCUCUUGCCUGCAAUCUAGAAUUUAUUUUUUUUAAAAGCCGUUAUAAACUAUUUUAAUUACAUUUUAGGCUUACAGCUUUUAUUUUGAGACUAAAUAGAUCUAGGCUAUAUUAAUAAUGAGAUCAAGAGGUCACAAAGCUAAAUUACAAAUUAUACUUAACGAAAGUUUAGUCAAUUACUUUUUCUUAGGAGAAAACAAAACAAUCCUCUAGCAGAUACUAAUCAAUGAAUUUCCUUUUCACGUUACUCUGUCUUAGAACUCUUGUUGCAACAGCGCUCUCAACAUGGAGGAUCUGGUGAGGAUACUUUGCCAACAUGUGUUUGCUGCUAUCAAUGAUAUGAGAAAUAGAACUAGUCAGCAAGUAGCACUGGACAAGGCUAUUUUGAAUCACAAUAGGCGAUUCGCACAACUAUUAGAUAUUGGUGACAAAGUUCAGUUUCCACGCCAAAUUUACAGCCACUAUGGAAUAUUUGUAGGAAGGAUGAAUGUUACAAUAGAACAAGACAAUAUAGAACAACAAUUCGAUGGAGAUAUAGCCCACCUAACUGAUUUACCUACAGCACAAGAUUUGCCUUUUAAGGUGUCCAUUCGACCAGAAAAUAAUGCUAUACAACUCGGACAUUUUAUGGACAUUGCAGACAAAAGCGUAGCGCUAAAGAACCAUGAACUAGACCGCAUAUAUCUUAGAUACAGUAAAACCACUGGCCUGUAUUUCCAUAGAGAAAAAAAUGCAAAUGAAAUAGCGAUGAAUCAGGCCACUUCCAAACGAAGUCAUUAGAGCGAAGGCCAUUGAAAAACUUGGCGAUGUUGGCUACAAUUUGUUUUUUGGCAACUGCGAACAUUUCGCCAAUUACUGCCGCUAUAACAGAUCUAUAAGUAAUCAGGUAAAUAUAUUAACACACAUAAAUAUAGCUAACAUGGAAUUCUUUUAGUGAGCUAUUUGUUUGAUAAAUAGAAUGAUAGAUUUAUCUAUAGCAUUAUAUUGUAGGUUACACUUCAUUGUUCCUAUUUAUUACAAUACUUCUAUUCAAGUCAGGACUUCAUGGAACCUGGAUCCAGGAACCUGGUUGUUGAUCUCAAAAAAAAAAAAAAAAAAAAUGUAAAAAUUCUCAUAGAAUUUAAGUUGAUGUAUAUUGCUAACAAUAGAAUUACUAGCUCGUUGGCUACACGGGGAAAACUCUAGUUUGACCUUUAUAUUUUUUGAAAGUUAAAAAUGUCAAUUUGACUGGAUGCUAUAUCUAGGUGUUUAGCAUACAUGGCGUAGUCAGCCGUAUUACCGUAUAACUGAGUAAAUGUAAAGUUGCUUAAAUUGUAUUGAAGUUUAUUAACGUUGCUUAUAUUCUACGUAAAUCUAAUACAGAUGACAUCUAGUUUCUAGAUCCAGAAGUAGAUCUAGACUAGAUUUUGAGAGUUCUAAAUCACAGCUUUAGGUCUAGUGUUAGCUCUUGAUGUCCAUAUAAUGAACAUACCAAUAAAUAAAAGCACAUAUAUGCCUUCCUCUCACAGCGAAUCAGAUAAAGCGAAUUUUCUAGUAGCUGACGGUGUCGCGGGUUCGAUACACGUAUUGAACCAAAAAUUUUUUUAAUGAUUAUUUUUUUUAGUAAUUGUAUAUUUGAAGUUGAAUAAUAAAAGUUUUGUCUUGAAAAAAUAUAUUUUUAAAACUGUUUUUCUUGUUAGUUUUUAGUUUGUAUUAGCAAAUGAAACAAUAGACCUACAUGAUCUAUUUAUUUUAAGUUUACACCUGAGUAUUAUAACCAGAGUAAAAUUAUAACAGAUUAGAUUAGAUUUAGGUAGCAAUAUAAUGAAAACUAUCGCGUGGUCUAGGAAGUAGAAUCAAGAAAUAGUUCUAGUCAAACAGUGUUGCCGUAAAGUAGAUGAUUUUGUUUGCCCUCAACGACAAGGACAGUUUUCCUCACCCAGCUUAUAAUGUAGAGGAGGUUUUAGUGCCGAUGUUUCCAUGGUAUGUGACCUUAUUGGCGCACUCAAAUUCCUUCAGCCCAACAGCCGUUGAAAACAAUAACGUAUCUAAGUUGACCAGGUUUUAAACGUUUUCGCGAAGAUUUCUUAUGGCACGUUUUGGAUUUCUUUUUAUCUCACUAAAGACAAUGUCAACAAAUUUAGAUUGAUUCUUUUAUAUUUUGCAUUCAAAUAUCGUAUGUAUUUUAAUUAAGGCAAAAUGAAUGCACAUUAAUUCUUUUAUUUUCUUUCUUGAACAUUUUUAUGCUCAUUAAUCGCCACUCUUUCUUGAACUUAACAUCACUCACUUAUAAAACGAAACUUAACCCUAUCCCUAAUUUGAAACACAUAACGACUACCUUUUGAUUUUAGUUUAGAUGAUAUGACGUAUAUCUUUAAGGGUACCCCGACAAAAUAGCGCAGAAAAAAAAAAAUAUUUCAGUCAUUUUGAAAGAAAUACUUUAGAUAUCGUAAAAUGUGAAUAGAGACAAUAUUUUUUUGUUUGAAUGUCACUAUUAUUUUUCAUUCAUUUCAUAAAUAUGCAAGCGGUAAGAAUAAAUUAUAAUAAUCUAACAUUAUUAGUUUUCAAAAUAUAUCAUUUAUUUACAUUCCAUAAUCAAGAUUUCUAAUUACACAUCAUCAUACCUAACUUAACCUAACAUUUGAACGGAGUCGCCACAUUUAAAAGUCAUUAUUAUAUUUUUUACAUUUUAAAUAUUGGAGAAAAAGAGAAUGAGAUUAAAUUUUAAACAAUUCACUUUCUCGGCCAAUGCCAUUACAUCUAUUAAUAGCGAAGAAGAAAGCUUAAAAAAAAUAAAGUUUCCUUUACAGAUCUUGUGUUCUUUAGAAGAAGAGAGAGACCUUAAACAAAAGUCUUCUCCAAUAUCUUCACUUACUAAAAUCCGGUACUUUCAAACACAUCAUAUACGCUCUUUUGUCUUGAGCUAUUUUAUCGGAAAAUUUCGCGCUUUUUCGUCGGCGCUACUUUGUCCGCGCUAUUUUGUCUUGAGCUAUUUUGUCUUGAGCUAUUUUGUCUUGACCUAUUUUGUCUUGACCUAUUUUGUCGGCGCUAUUUUGUCAGGUCACCAUCUUGAAGACCAAACACACAAUUAAAAACUAGUCUAAUUUAUGUCUAUAUGUUUGAUAUAUAUUUUUUGCGUUUAUUACAAAAUAUUGUACAUUACUGCAGCGGUUAUUAAACUGUGGUUCACGGAACCCAGGUCCGCGAGACAGCAAAUAGGGGGUCUGUAGAAAGAUGAGAAUUGUAUAGAAAUAAAAUAAUUUAUUCGCUAAUUGACAGUUAAUCCGAUCAGAUAAUUGAAAUAUAAUCCACUCUCCCCUCACCACCACUGGCGGAUCCAGGAUGGGCCCCCCCCCCACUCGGCCGUCCCCCAAGGGACGAGUUUUAAUAAAGAAAUCACACAAUUUGUAUACCAAUUUAUUAGUUAUGUUAAUAAUAUAUACUAAUUAUUUAUAUUUAAACCUAUUUUUAGAUUAUUUCGCCCCCCCCCUUUUUGUAUGUUGGCAGAUUUGGUGGGAUGGGGAAGUGGCAUCAAUCCCGCCCCCCCACCAUAAACUUUCGAGUGGGGGGGGGGGCUUCAAUUUAUUUAUAGAAAUCAUAACUUGUUAACAGAAUCAAUCUAAUAUCUAUAUAAUUAAAACUUGUUAUUGAUAUUUUAACCGAUCUUUAUAUUAUGUCGUUCCCCUGUUAGCCGAUUGAGUGGGGCGUGGGGGAAGGGGGGGCGAAUACAAACAUAAACCCUUGAGUGGGGGGUGGGGACGGUCCUACUUUUAUGUAUAAAUCAUAGUUUGUGAACAAUUUUUUCAUUAUAAGAGUAACAAUUGAGAUUAGUUCUGAACCCAAAUAUUAUUUUCCUAGUCACCUUUUUCCAACCUUUUCUCAUACUGAUAUUUUUCUGUUGUAUAAAUGAGACUAUAACUCACAAAAUUUACUUCAAUCCUAAAAAUAAAAAUAACAAGGUUACAAAAGACAGUUUGUGUGGAAACACAAACUCAAAAUCGGCCCCCGAAGUGGUCUACCCAGGCAGGCUUCAAUAUUUUCAGAAAGAACAUCCGAAUGAAAUUAUAUCAAAGACUAAUGAGAGAUAAGAAUGGAGAAAGAAGGUUAACAGAUCUUGUGCCCCAACGGUCCAGCAGAUCAAAGGAUAAGUGAAAGUGAAUGUAAAGUUAGAUGUGAACCUGGCCUAACUAGUUCCCCUUUCAGACUUUGUGGUCUAUAGGGCAGAUGAUGUAAAGUUCAUCUGUUUUUGUGGCCUACGGUUAACGAGGGUGUCAUGUAGCCAGCACAACGACCAACCGCCUUUACUUUUCCCCAACUAAUGACCCCCGGUUGGGAAGCCAAGCGCUUUACCGCUCAGCCACCGCGCCUCCCUUGGCCUAACUGAUGUCUUAUAAUUGAUCUAAUUUGUUGAAAAGGUUCAAUCUCUUAUUGAAAUCAUCAAAAAAAAAAAAAUAAAUAAAUAAAUUCCGCAAUAAAAAAAAAAGGUUUAGGAAAAUAAAGUUUAUAAGAUUACUAUUCGUUUUAAAUUACGUCUAACUUUUAAUGCAUACUAAUUAGCUUUUUCUCUUUAAAAAAAUACUUGCAUAACUGAUUUUAAAAAUUAGAUUUUUCGCUUUCAGAAAAAAAAAGUAGCCGUUGCAUCAGAACUUUGAAUGGUCUAAAAUAUUGUGAUGUCCGAUUUUCAAAAUCUUUUCUAGUUUACGAGAUCUAAACGGGACGGACGGACAGACAUUUAAAAAAAAAACAACUAAUAGCGUCUUUUCCCCUUUCGGGGGCCGCUAAAAAUUAGAGUAAAAUCUAAUUGUACCACUUAAUUUUUCAUCCCACUUCCGAAUUUGUUUUGUUUAGAGCUUUGAAUUAUGGUUCUAUCACAAAACAAAGCUACAAACAUGCCUAUUUUACAAAAAAAUCACUUACAAAUGAGCUUUUUUUUUAAAUAUUAUUUUUCGAAUAUUUUUUUCUUUUGGUGGCGAUCCUCAAAGUCUUAAUCUAAACAUGUGUGGUAUCUUAUCUUUUCAAGUAACAAAUCGGUUCUGUAAAUUCAUGUUAGAAUAUGUUUUAUGUAAAACAUUAUUCAAAAGGUCUUUUUUUAAUAGGAUGAAUAAUGAGCUUUAAAUGUCAGGAGAAUUCCGUUCUUCAAUGAAGAAUGCAAGAAAACGCUUUUGGCGUCGGGGCUUCGCCCCGGACCCCACUGGGGAGGAUUACAGCGCUUCCCCAGACCCCUAAGCUGUAAAGAGAAAGGCCUAAGGUAAAGAAAUACUGUUUAUUUUUUAAUUAUAAAAAAAAACAAUUAAUAAUAUAUGCUUAGGGUUUACUGGGCGUUAGGGUUAGGGUUUGGAAAAAAAUCGCCCCCCCCCCCACUCCAAAGUUCUGGAUCCGCUAGUGCUCACAAUUGUGUAAUAAGUUAUUUCAUAACAAACUAAACAAAAAAUUCGAAGACAUUCUUCACUUGAAUAGUGGGUGCUGUGACAUUUUGUUUUAUUUUAAUCUCAAUCACUUCAUUCUAAUACUGGAGAAGCUUUUUAAAAUAUUCAGAAAACGAGGAAGUCAAGACCAUUGUUUGAAUAAGUAGACCACAAAUUCUGGUUUCCAAACAGAUUCCAGAUUUUUAUAUCCUGCAUUAUAGGUCAUUGUACAGAAGUUGUUGACUGCCUUCCCCUCUUUUUAUAAGCGACCCCCAAAAAGGGAAUAGCUCUAGUAGUUUUGUGUGGUCUAUCAGUCCGUCCGUCCCGUUUAGAUCUCAUAAACUAGAAAAGAUAAUGUAAAUCCGAUAUCAUGAUUUUAGUUUUGAUCGUUUAAAGUUUUGAUACAACGACUCAUUGUCCUUUCUGAAAACGAAAAAUGUACUUGUUAAUAUCACCUAUGCCAGCAGUUUUGACAUUAUAAUACACAAUCUUUACAACUAUUCACUAAUAGCAAAAAAAAAAAAACAAAAACGGAAUAAUAUUUAGUUGAGGCUACAGAAACGUGGCUUACUUAUUACACAUUUAUGCAAAUGGUUUUAGAUUUUAUGUCAAAAAAUGUUUUCAAAAUAUGACUAAAUUAAGUACUAAUUGUCAUACCAGCUACUUACAUUUGUAACGAAAUGUUUACUUAUAUAAAUAUAUUUCGUAUGAUUAUAGGUCUAAUAUAAUCUAAAACAAUCAUAAAUAAGUAGUGUUUUCUAUCAUAAACGAGGAGAUCAUAUCACAGCCACCGCGCUGGAACACUGUACUGAGAUGUUGGCCCUUUACAAAACAAUUAAAUCAAUCAAUCACAUUUAUUAGGCCAGGUUCACAAUCCAUUAUACCGUCAUAACUAUUAGUUCAUUAAAUACAUAUUUGUCUUUGUAACCUUUGUAUUACAUUGCCGACAAGAACCUCAUGACAAAUAAAAGCAAUCGACUAGAAAUGCUCGUUAAGAUUUGCGAUUACUACUAGAGAACAUUGAGCCGGACAUAUUUUAAAUCAACUCAUCAAAUCUGAUCUCGUUUCUUCAAGUUAUUAUUUUUAAAUUUUAUUUUAAAGAAAAAGUGUCAUUUUAAUCAACACUUCUUUAACAAAAUGUUUUUUUUUUUUUUUUUUUUACAUUUAUAAUUUACUAUCCUGGCAUUACCCGCGGCCUGCGGGUCUAAGUUUGUGUUUACUAAUGUAGUGGAUUGGAUUUAGAUGUAUGUUAAACCAUAGACUAUAUAUAUACAGGACUGCCAACACUAAGGGUAACUAAGCAUAAGUUUCGUUCAACUCCAAAAUGUGAGAUGAGGUACUUCCGGUAUAAACUUAUUUCAUGACAUUCACGAUGUUUGAAUGAUAAUGCCAGCUUGGAUAAUAUAUUUCUCUUUUCAUCACAUUUCACAAUUUCUUUUUACAUUGUAUACUAUUAAUAUAUAUGGAGAAUGAAGCCAUUAAAAAUUACAAGUAAUAGUGUAUUUAUGACUAAUUGAAAAAUAUGCAUAAAACUUUCAGCUCUGCAAGUUAUUAAUUUUUUAAACUAAUUAAAUCCUAAAUAACAUCCAAUUAUUCUAAAAGCCAUAAAAAAAAUUGAUUGUUCCAAAUUUUUCUUCACCUAAUAGAAUUCUAGAAUCAUUGUUCCAACUUCAAUCAAAAUUAAUAGUACACGUAGUAAACAUGUAAACUUUGACCCAGACUUAGUGACCUAUGGCAGUAAACUAUAUCUACCUAUACGACCAUACACACUACUAUCAUUUAUUUUUGGAGAAAAAUGGCUUAAUGGGUUUUUAAUUACAUAUACAUAUAUAUCAACUAGUUAAAACACCAUCUACGUAAAUUCUCUUUUUUUAAGUUGGUAAACAGAUUUUGUUGUUAUAAAAAUCUGGCUAUGUCUAUCGCACUGUUACCAAAAUUAUGACUAAGAAAUAAUUUGAACGUAGUGUUUAUCUUUAGUGAUGGUUUCUUUAUAUAGUAAACAAUUUCACCGGAAGUCAUUCUUCUAACACUACACGGCAACCAAGGACGCGUCGGUGUACGGGACUUAUUUAAUUGAAUAAUAUAGGCGUGGUGCGCACAGUUGGCAGUCGUGUAUAUAUAUAGUCUAUGGUUAAACUUAGCUAAUGAUCCUUUCAAGUUUUUUCUCUUUCGCUACGAAAAUGGGUUUACCCGAAGCCGAUACACUCAUAUCUAUUAAAAACGAAAAGAGCGAUAGCUUUGUUAAAUGAAUGGGAUUAUAAAGUAAACAAUUAAACGAAAUAAUUUUUAGUACGCGAUUCAUGAAUGAAUAUAGGCCUAUCUCAACCCGGCUUCACAGCUUUCGUAAACGAAUGUACUCUAUUAAAAAUGCUUUAGAAAACCAAAUUUGAAUGUUUAUUUGAUCAAAAUAUGAAAUGAAUGGACUAUAAUUAGUAUGUUCAUGUGUUAAAGUAUAAAACUAUCUGUGCGAAGAGAAGUUUUAUCAUCUUAGAGUUGCAUUAGAGUUUUAUAUCUAGGGAUGGAAAGAUGUAUUGUCUAAUGAAAGAAUUUCGUCAGGAAAACUGUAGUCACAGAUAUAAGGAACUAAUUUAUGUAAAAAAUGGUUUUGAAACACAAAUUUAAAGGUUAAUUUUAUUGUAUAAUGAAAUCAAUGGACCUUCUUUUGUAUUUUCAUGUGUCAAAGUAAAAAACUAUCGGCGCAAAGUGUAUUUCUUAAAAUUAGAUCUAGAUCUUAAUCCUUUCAAUCUUUUCUCAUGUCAACAUUGUAAACAUGGCCUAGAUCCAUAAAAUACUAUAGCUUUAAUAGAGUCGGACAACUUUAUUUUUUUUUAGGGUCUUAAGUUUGUUAUAGGGCUACAAUACAUACACUACGGUCUAAGUUAGUAUCCAAGGAACAUUUCUGCCAAGUUUUAUCAAGAUUGGUCAAACGGUUUUGUUUUCUAUUCGUAACAUACAUACAUACAUACAUACGCCUCACAUUCUACUUUAUAAUUUAAGAUAUACUAUGCAUUUGUAUAACGUAUUCACUUAGUCAUAGUGGGCACAUUUUGAGUAAGGGAAAGUGAGGUAAUAGGAGAUACUUAACUUUAAAAUAUAAAAAAAUCUGUAGUAGAUUCCAAUUGUUGCAACUCUAGGGUAGGCACUCAACGAAAAGGCAGGUCGGCAACAGUAAACGAUGUAUUUAUUUUGUAUAAGCAUCAACAAAUAGUAAUAGUUACUAGUUAGACUUGGACGUCUGCUACAAAGUCACAGGGAGUAAUAUGUCUUAAGUUCUAAGAGUCCUACUUCAUACCAGAACACAGAACAGACCACCGACACACUUCCCUGUGUCGCUCCAGGUCUCCCACACAGUUUCCUAGUAUCACACAGGACAGCACUCAGCACCAGACUGUUCAGACUCCCAUGACUUCUAGCCAGCUCACAACAGUCCUUCCCCUUGUUUACGUUCAACAGUGCGCUAGUGCGCAUUUCAAGCACUGGUGCAGGGUUCCAGGGUCAAAAAGGUUUUAGAACCUCUGCAUUACUGGAUAUACAUAUACUUUUUAAUUAUAUCUAUAUUUAUUUAUUUUUAGCUAUAAAAAUCAAAAUAAGUCAUAGUUAUUCCAAUUUGCUGUAGAAAAAUUUGUUGUAUGUAUUUAAAAAAAUAUAAUCAACAUCACAUUAAAAUAAUGUAUUCUUAGUCCAAUAAAUGUUUACAUUUUUUGAUGUAUUCAUGUAUAAAGUAUAAAUUACAUAUUUUUCAAUAAAACUUUAUGUGUUUUUUGGUGUUGAAUUAUAAAUAAAAACACACACACACACAAAACAACAUUGGGACUAUUAAGGGUGCUCAGAUCUUUUAAAUAUCUAAAGAUUUUUGUACAAAAUAAUCUUUACUUGUUUAUUUAAUUCAAUUUAAAAUUGCAUUUUUCCUUACAAAGUUAAUACAUAUAAAGAGUAGUUAGUGCCAUUACAGUAAGGAAUGGGUUGCCUGAAUCAGCCAGAGAAAGAACGACUUUUAGUCUCUUAUUAACAUGCGCGACUUGAAUAACACAUAGAUAAGCAUAGAACGUAAUUAUCUUCUUGCAAAGAACGUUCGAAGUUUAUAAGAUAAGUUAGGAGAAUGGUUUCCAAUUAUUCAAUACUUUAUUCUUAUGAGUCGUAGAUUGAAGAUUGAGGAAACACAAAUAUAUAUGACAUUUUACAAUAAAACUUGGCAGCCGCUUAGGCCUGCAAUUGGUGUGUGUGUGGGGGGGGGGGCCUCGCACAGUACUCCCUAAACACUUUUAUUUAGAGAAGAAAUAGCAAAGGUGUUAUUCCAGAUCGUAGGGUCAAGGUUAUUCAUUUAGAAUCUUUCUGAUAUUUGGACAUGUUAUUAGGGUGUUUAUAUUCUCCUCCUAUCUUCGUACUUGUUGAGAAAUAAAAUAAUAGAUGUCAAUAUGUAGAUCUAUUGUUUUGCGGUGUUUUUUUGUUUAGUUAGAUUGUUUCUAUUUGAUGUAGUGAUGUCAAUACUAUCCUGCGCAUAUUGCGUGAUGUAAAGAUCAAAGGUCAAGGUCUGGUGGAAGUAGGGAGAGAUAGAAGGUCAACGUGUGGUGCAAGUAGUGGACAUCUUUUGAGAGAGGAGAACGAUUGGUGUACUUAUGAUCCUGACUUAUCUCCUGGAGGCCAUCUGUCUAUUUGUCGUUAUUUGUCAAUCGUUCUUUUUCAAAUAUGAGUGUGUCAUUUCAAACUUUGAUAUUUAUUUAUGUUUAUAGUAUUUAUUCUAAUCAUCGCUGACCUCAAGAACUACACAACACUGGCCAAGUAAAUACUAACGAUGUACAGGAAUACGAACUAAUAGAUCACAUGCUGUACUUACUAUCAAUAGCCAAUCGUAUUGAUUUCAAUUAAAACGCAAAUAUCGUUAUAUCUAUAGAUGUUACAUUUUUAUAUUUUAAUUACCUAUUAUUCUAGUCUUAUUUAAUGUGACAUUCUUUUUGUCAUGUAAAUGAAAAUAAAUAUUUGAAAUAGUGUUAA